rnacentral:lncRNA from 1 species
AGAGAUGGAGGGAGCUGCAGUGGCGAUGGCCCUCUGAUUGAACCUGGAGGCCAGGCUCCGCGAGCUCCACACCUUAGCCCUGCCCCUGUUCCAAACUACUUCAGAUUCUGACUCCCAAGUCUCCACUCACUGCCCCCUCCUCCCCCUACAAUCCCUCUCGAAUUCCUUCCUGGAAUCCAGCUACCAGACCUGGGCCAGACUAGGCCAAGGAGAAGGAAUUCUCACCCAUGACCUCUUCCAACUACUUGAAGCCCUCUGCAGCAUGUCCAGGGCCUCCCAGAAGAAGUCCUUCUGUGCGGCCAUCAGGGGCAUCCACCCUACGAUCUCCUUCAUCUUCUCCGUGCGGUCCUGCAACGUUUGGCAACUGUGGAUCUGGCUGAGGGUCUUGCACUUCUGUUGGUAUCUCAUCUAUGCCCCCAGAAAAUCAGCUCCUUGCCUGAGCCCAGGGCCUGCUGUGGUGUACCCCUCAUUCUCAGCCCACCCGUCUAUGCCAGUCCAGCCUCUCAUCCUGCCUGCCAGCCUCGGGGAGACUUGCUUCUUGUGCAAUUCCAGCACCAGGCGCUUGUCUCAAGUGCUGUCAUCACUCAACAGCCUCCUGGCGGGCUCCCCUCCUUGGCCUCCUCUGCACAAGGCUCCUGACACAUUCUCAGUCACCUCUUGGGGGUUGCCUUCUCCUAUUCCAGAACCUGCAGUGACUCUUCCCCAAAUCUACACCUCUCUAAGCUUGUGCCCACCUGUACCACCUCAUACCUCAGUGAUUCCCAAGAUGCCUUCUGUGCUUUAGUGAGACCCGUCUUGUCACUGUCCCAGACGGAGUCUCGCUCUGUGGCCCAGGCUGGAGUAGGGUGGCACGAUCUCAGCUCACUGCAACCUCAGCCUCCCAGGUUCAAGAGAAUCUCCUGCCUCAACCUCCUGAGUAGCUGGGAUUGCAGUGUGCACUGCACAGAAUGGACCUCGUAGUGCCAACCCUGGCAGGGUCUGAGGAAUCUGCAGGAAACAGUUUGCAAAAGCCAUUGCUUUGGGCCACACCUGUGAGGAGCAGUAGAGCCCGCUGGGUCUCCUGACCAACCAGCACGAUCUGCUUGAAGGUCAUUGAGUGGUGGAAUGUCAUCUUGAAGACCCGCUGCCCACUAGACUGCAGAUAGACCUCAACACAGUCACAGGCCCGGCUGCUGGUGGU